rnacentral:rRNA from 2 species
GGUUAAGUUACAAAGGGCGCACGGUGGAUGCCUUGGCACUAGGAGCCGAUGAAGGACGGAACUAAUACCGAUAUGCUUCGGGGAGCUAUAAGUAAGCUUUGAUCCGGAGAUUUCCGAAUGGGGGAACCCAGUACACAUCAGUGUAUUGCUUGUCAGUGAAUACAUAGNUGGCCGGCGGCAGACGCGGGAACUGAAACAUCUCAGUACCCGCAGNAAGAGAAAGAAAACUCUGAUUCCCAUAGUAGCGGCGAGCGAAGUGGGAAGAGCCCAAACCGAGAAGCUUGCUUCUCGGGGUUGUAGGACUGGACAUUGGAGUUACCAAAGUCCNANGUAGUAGAAGUCAGCUGGAAAGCUGCGCCACAGAAGGUGAAAGCCCUGUAAGCGAAACGUCUGAACCCUCCGUCCAGGAUCCUGAGUACGGCGGAACACGUGAAAUUCCGUCGGAAUCCGGGAGGACCAUCUCCCAAGGCU